GCCUCCUUAGCUCAGUCGGUAGAGCAUCAGAUUUUAAUGUGAGGGUCGUGGGUUCGAGUCCCACAAAAGGCG
rnacentral:tRNA from 1 species